rnacentral:rRNA from 1 species
AGAGUUUGAUUCUGGCUCAGGAUAACGCUGGCGGCGUGCCUAACACAUGCAAGUCGAGCGAGAAACGCGGAAAGCGGCGGACGGGUGAGUAACGCGUAGGCAACCUGCCCUUUGCAGAGGGAUAGCAACGGGAAACUGUUAUUAAAACCUCAUAACCGACAUGUCAAAUGACAAGACGGUCAAAGAUUUAUCGGCAAAGGAUGGGCCUGCGUCUGAUUAGUUAGUUGGUAGGGUAACGGCCUACCAAGGCAGCGAUCAGUAGCCGACCUGAGAGGGUGAUCGGCCACAUUGGAACUGAGACACGGUCCAAACUCCUACGGGAGGCAGCAGUGGGGAAUAUUGCACAAUGGGGAAAGCCUGAUGCAGCAACGCCGCGUGAAGGAGGUUUGUCGACUUCUGUCCUUGGGGAAAAAAACCCCUGGAGGAAGUCCCGGCAACUACGUGCCAGCAGCCGCGGUAAUACGUAGGGGGCGAGCGUUAUCCGGAAUUAUUGGGCGUAAAGAGUACGUAGGUGGUUUUUUAAGCGCAGGGUUUAAGGCGAUGGCUCAACUGUCGUUCGCCCUGUGAACUGGAAGACUUGAGUACAGGAGAGGAAAGCGGAAUUCCUAGUGUAGCGGUGAAAUGCAUAGAUAUUAGGAGGAACACCAGUGGCGAAGGCGGCUUUCUGGACUUAACUGACACUGAGGUACGAAAGCGUGGGGAGCAAACAGGAUUAGAUACCCUGGUAGUCCACGCUGUAAACGAUGAGCACUAGGUGUCGGGGUCGCAAGAUCUCGGUGCCGCAGUUAACGCAUUAAGUGCUCCGCCUGGGGAGUACGCACGCAAGUGUGAAACUCAAAGGAAUUGACGGGGACCCGCACAAGCAGCGGAGCAUGUGGUUUAAUUCGAAGCAACGCGAAGAACCUUACCAGAACACAUUCCUGACAGGCCUUUAAUCGGGCCCUUUCGCAGAGAAGGUGGUGCAUGGUUGUCGUCAGCUCGUGUCGUGAGAUGUUGGGUUAAGUCCCGCAACGAGCGCAACCCUUGUCAUUAGUUGCUAACAUUAAGUUGAGGACUCUAAUGAGACUGCCGGGGACAACUCGGAGGAAGGUGGGGAUGACGUCAAAUCAUCAUGCCCCUUAUGUUCUGGGCUACACACGUGCUACAAUGGCCGGUACAACGAGAAGCGAAGUCGCAAGGCGGAGCAACCUCAAAAACCGGUCCCAGUUCGGAUUGCAGGCUGAAACCCGCCUGCAUGAAGCCGGAGUUGCUAGUAAUCGCGAAUCAGAAUGUCGCGGUGAAUGCGUUCCCGGGUCUUGUACUCACC